AGUUCGUCGCGGAAUCGAUCGUCGAUCGACACGUCGCGUUCGUCGAUGGCGACGCGGAAAUGGCGGAGGAUCGAUCUGACGAUGCGGCAGUCGUCGAAGGUACGGCGGACGACGCGGAGGCUUGUGUAGUAGACGACGACGUACUGAUCUAGACCGGGAGGUAGUACGAGUUUUUUCGGCGGAGGAGCGGCGGUGCGGGAUGAACCUAAGGCACGGAGAACGGCGGUGGAGAUGCGAAUGCGACGGAAUAAGGAAGGAGAUUUUGGAUAAUCCGGUUCGGGUUCGGGUUGGAUUAGAGUUUGAAUGUCUUUGAAUGAAGAACAGGAGAAGUUGACGGAGCGAGUUUGCAAAUGUAACGGUGGCGAUGACGGCGGCGAAUUUCCGAAGCGUCGCGGUGAAUUCAACCAAUGUGGCCACAUUACAGAUAAGAGGAAAAGAGAAAGAAAGAAAACAAGGUUUUCGGUGGAAAAUAGUGAAGUGAAGAAAAAUGAGGGUAAAGAAUUGAGAGCGAAAGAAAACGAGAAAGAGGAUAUAAGACUUUAUAGCUAUGAUACGUAAUCAUAACAUACCCACUAUACCAUGUGCGUUGUUCUUUCCUUGGUUUUAUUUUUUUAUAUGGAAAUAAUUUAUUCUGUGAUCAGAAUUCUGACAUUCAUUUCGCACGUAGAAAUACUUACAGUGUGCGCAACAUGUAAUUUCAUCUUUUUUGACAAAUAUAAUUGCUAUUUUAAAUUCUCCUGAAAUAUAUUAAAAUUGUAAUUAAAAGAUUUAUGCAGAUAUUGGUUGAGAAUGGUAAUUUCAUAACUCCUUUUGCAAGUCUCAAUCAAACUUAAGGUCUAAAUAUUAUUUCAUAUUAGUAACAGAAAAUUUUAAUAAAAAAGUGUUCAGUGAGAAUUUAUUUGUUAAAAUUAUAAAUAAAAAUUUAUGCAGAUACUGAUUGAAAAUGUUAUUUCAUAUUAGUAAAAUAAAUUUUUAAUGAAUAUAAAAAAAUGUAUAAAUUGAAAGUGUUUAGUGAAAAAGUAUUUAGCGAGUCAACAAAAUAAAUAAUAAGUUGUUCUUUUUUUAUAAUGGUUCAUAAAACAAAGAGAAACAAAUAGUAAAUUAGGGUGGCAGUCGUCGAAGGUACGGCGGACGACGCGGAGGCUUGUGUAGUAGACGACGACGUACUGAUCUAGACCGGGAGGUAGUACGAGUUUUUUCGGCGGAGGAGCGGCGGUGCGGGAUGAACCUAAGGCACGGAGAACGGCGGUGGAGAUGCGAAUGCGACGGAAUAAGGAAGGAGAUUUUGGAUAAUCCGGUUCGGGUUCGGGUUGGAUUAGAGUUUGAAUGUCUUUGAAUGAAGAACAGGAGAAGUUGACGGAGCGAGUUUGCAAAUGUAACGGUGGCGAUGACGGCGGCGAAUUUCCGAAGCGUCGCGGUGAAUUCAACCAAUGUGGCCACAUUACAGAUAAGAGGAAAAGAGAAAGAAAGAAAACAAGGUUUUCGGUGGAAAAUAGUGAAGUGAAGAAAAAUGAGGGUAAAGAAUUGAGAGCGAAAGAAAACGAGAAAGAGGAUAUAAGACUUUAUAGCUAUGAUACGUAAUCAUAACAUACCCACUAUACCAUGUGCGUUGUUCUUUCCUUGGUUUUAUUUUUUUAUAUGGAAAUAAUUUAUUCUGUGAUCAGAAUUCUGACAUUCAUUUCGCACGUAGAAAUACUUACAGUGUGCGCAACAUGUAAUUUCAUCUUUUUUGACAAAUAUAAUUGCUAUUUUAAAUUCUCCUGAAAUAUAUUAAAAUUGUAAUUAAAAGAUUUAUGCAGAUAUUGGUUGAGAAUGG
rnacentral:lncRNA from 1 species